AACGAACGCUGGCGGCAGGCUUAACACAUGCAAGUCGAACGCAUCCUUCGGGGUGAGUGGCAGACGGGUGAGUAACGCGUGGGAACGCGCCCUUCAGUUCGGGAUAACCCAGGGAAACUUGGGGUAAUACCGGAUACGUGCGAGAGGAGAAAGAUUUAUCGCUGAAGGAUCGGCCGGCGUCUGAUUAGCUAGUUGGUGGGGUAAUGGGCCACCAAGGCGACGAUCAGUAGAUGGUCUGAGAGGAUGAUCGGCCACAUUGGGAGUGAGACACGGCCCAAACUCCUACGGGAGGCAGCAGUGGGGAAUAUUGGAAAAUGGGCGCAAGCCUGAUCCAGCCAUGCCGCGUGAGUGAUGAAGGCCUUAGGGUUGUAAAGCUCUUUCGUCCGGGACGAUAAUGACGGUACCGGAAGAAGAAGCCCCGGCUAACUUCGUGCCAGCCGCCGCAGUAA
rnacentral:rRNA from 1 species